rnacentral:misc_RNA from 1 species
GGAACACAUUGCUGUCACAUUGCGACAAUUAGAAUACCUUAAGCUAAGCAAAAAUUUUACCAAGGCAUGAAAACAUAAUUAAAAGUAGCGGUCAGCUAAAACAUGAAUAUAGUGGCUUACUGCAGCCACUGGAAGAGAAUUAACCAUAAAUGAUACAAAAGCACUUGUGCAAUAUAUGCAUGUCCGUACACAAGCAUGCCCAUGCACACAGAGUCUAUGUAGAUUCCCACUUUCUGAAUAUAGAUUUUUAAGAAACAUAUACAGAUUAUGAGUCAAAUGCCAGAGAUCAAGAAAGAUCUUAAAGAUAAUUAUCAUUUUGGUUCCACAUGAGUGAGGAAACACGCUUAUAGUUUUGUGAAUACAGCAUAUUUGCAACAAAAAGGAUGUAAAAAAUAAAAAAUAAAAAAGCGUUCUUUGGCGGAGAUUAGCUUA